GACGAACGCUGGCGGCGUGCUUAACACAUGCAAGUCGAACGGUGAAGCGCCUUCCUUUUUGGUGGGUGUGGAUGAGUGGCGAACUGGUGAGUAACACCUGAGUAACCUGCCCCCUUCUUCUGGAUAACCGCAUGAAAGUGUGGCUAAUACGGGAUAUUCUCGGUCUGUCGCAUGAUGAGUCUGGGAAAGUUCUUGUCUCGGAGGGGGAUGGGCUCGCGGCCUAUCAGCUUGUUGGUGGGGUGGUGGCCUACCAAGGCGGUGACGGGUAGCCGGCUUGAGAGAGUGGACGGUCACACUGGGACUGAGACACGGCCCAGACGCCUACGUGAGACAGCAGUGGGGAAUAUUGCACCAUGGUCGCAAGCCUGAUGCAGCGACGCCGCGUGAGGGAUGGAGGCCUUCGGGUUGUGAACCUCUUUCGCCAGUGAGGCAGGCCUGCCACGUUUGUGUGUGGGUUGACGGUAGCUGGAUAAGAAGCGCCGGCUAACUACGUG
rnacentral:rRNA from 1 species